GAAUUCCAUGCCAAGGAGAGGGAGGGUGGCACCCCAGAAGCCAGCUGACCCGCAGCAGAGAGGAGCCUGGCACAGUCGGGGCCGGGCAGAGGCAGGCGCACAGCUGGGUUUGUGAAGCGGCUAACAGCAAAGUUUAAUCCCUGCUUACCGAGAAAGGUGUCAGAGCUAGAUUGGUGGCUUUUCACGCAAUCACUAGGUUCUUUUUAUUUGCCUGGAUGCUUUCUCUUUUUGAGCCACUGCAAGACCCCAGCCAUCCCUGCAGCCCCCCAACCCAAUUAUCUUCUUUGAGGCUAGAUGAGGAAAACAGCUUUACGUUCCCAGUGAUCCAGGAUGGAUUAAAUGGUCAAAAAUUGCA